CAGAUGCCCCUCUUAGUUAAUCCUCUCUGGAAAAGCCUUUGACCAACCCAAAGGUAUACCUGUGUCUCCUAGGCGAUGCUAAAUCCAAUCAAAUAUGGCAACCAAAACUAGCUAUCACAACAUCUGGACCACAUAAGUCAUUCAUCCAGAGAAGUAUCCUACAUGCAAGACAUUAGAAGUAUCCGUGGUAGAUAUAUAACUUAGGUACAUCUUGGGCAGAGGUUUGGCAUUUUGACAGGGAGUCCUUCUGAGACCAUCCCAUGAGGAGAGACAACCAUGGUCUGACACAUUACUGACAGUAGAAAAUUUCAUCUGCGUCCAACACAGUGCCAAUAGUGUAACAAACGCAUCAACUUCUAAGAAGCCAGAUGAGAGACUACAUAUGAGUAACCUCAGGCAACCUGCCUGAAUUGUCCACAACCCACGAUGAAAAUUGAAAUCCUUUCCAAGAACCUUGACUCACGCAUACAGACCUAAGAUCCAGCUAGGUUUAACUUUUACUUCUCCGCGCACCACGGCAUCAAAAUUCAUUUCCCCAAAGAGCAAGGCAAUGCCAGAUUCCAAAAGAAGAGAAAAACAACCGGGUCAAGAAACCUUCCCACAUCACAAGCACGCUCAAACGCAGCGAGCUCACGUCCGAGGGGCACGGCGCUAGGUGGCAGAAGAGAGCCGGAGACGCGCUAGGCCGACUGCAGCAGCCGCUGAGCAUCUCUUCUAGUUCCUUCCCACUUUACCCUGGCUCAGGCCUCAAAGGCUCAGCCGAAUUCUAACAACAGGUUCUUCAUUAAGGGGUACACUGCUACGAGAUAAACAUGGCUUUUUCAGCCGCUCAAUUGCAUCCUAUUUGAAGAGAUUAUGCCCAUAUUCCAGGCUCCUUUGCUGUACAACGCUGUUUAGCAAACCAGUUCAAAACCCUGGCCCCACCCGGCACCCCUUCCCUCAGCAAC
rnacentral:lncRNA from 1 species